rnacentral:rRNA from 1 species
GGAGUUAGCCGGUGCUUCUUCUGCGAGUAACGUCACAGAUGUAAGGUAUUAACUUACACCCUUUCCUCCUCGCUGAAAGUGCUUUACAACCCGAAGGCCUUCUUCACACACGCGGCAUGGCUGCAUCACGGGUUUCCCCCAUUGUGCAAUAUUCCCCACUGCUGCCUCCCGUAGGAGUCUGGGCCGUGUCUCAGUCCCAGUGUGGCUGAUCAUCCUCUCAGACCAGCUAGGGAUCGUCGCCUAGGUGAGCCUUUACCUCACCUACUAGCUAAUCCCACCUGGGCUUAUCCAUCAGCGCAAGGCCCGAAGGUCCCCUGCCUUUCCCCCGUAGGGCGUAUGCGGUAUUAGCAGUCGUUUCCAACUGUUAUCCCCCACAAAUGGGCAAAUUCCCAGGCAUUACUCACCCGUCCGCCGCUCGUCAUCUUCAAAAGCAAGCUUUUAGAAAUGUUACCGCUCGACUUGCAUGUGUUAGGCCUGCCGCCAGCGUUCAAUCUGAGCCAGAAUCAAACUCUGA